rnacentral:rRNA from 1 species
AGACCCGAAACCCGGUGAUCUAGCCAUGGGCAGGUUGAAGGUUGGGUAACACUAACUGGAGGACCGAACCGACUAAUGUUGAAAAAUUAGCGGAUGACCUGUGGCUGGGGGUGAAAGGCCAAUCAAACCGGGAGAUAGCUGGUUCUCCCCGAAAGCUAUUUAGGUAGCGCCUCGUGAAUUCAUCUCCGGGGGUAGAGCACUGUUUCGGCUAGGGGGCCAUCCCGGCUUACCAACCCGAUGCAAACUGCGAAUACCGGAGAAUGUUAUCACGGGAGACACACGGCGGGUGCUAACGUCCGUCGUGAAGAGGGAAACAACCCAGACCGCCAGCUAAGGUCCCAAAGUCAUGGUUAAGUGGGAAACGAUGUGGGAAGGCCCAGACAGCCAGGAUGUUGGCUUAGAAGCAGCCAUCAUUUAAAGAAAGCGUAAUAGCUCACUGGUCGAGUCGGCCUGCGCGGAAGAUGUAACGGGGCUAAACCAUGCACCGAAGCUGCGGCAGCGAACGUAUCACUUAAAGCGAUUCAGCGGGUUACGAUUGACGGAGCGAAGCGACGUCAAAGCGUAUACAAAGUCGAGUCGGUUUAAGGAUACGUUCGUUGGGUAGGGGAGCGUUCUGUAAGCCUGCGAAGGUGGCCUGUGAGGGUUGCUGGAGGUAUCAGAAGUG